GAUGAAGAACGCAGCGAAAUGCGAUAAGUAAUGUGAAUUGCAGAAUUCAGUGAAUCAUCGAAUCUUUGAACGCACAUUGCGCCCGCGAGUAUUCUCGCGGGCAUGCCUGUCCGAGCGUCAUUUCAACCCUCAGGGCCCGCCUGCUUGCAGGCGCGGCGCUGGUGUUGGGGAUCGGCUACCCUGCCGUCCCCCAAAUACAGUGGCGGUCUCGCUGCAGCCUCCUCUGCGUAGUAGCACAACCUCGCAGUUGGAACGCGGCGGUGGCCAUGCCGUUAAACACCCCACUUCUGAAAGUUGACCUCGGAUCAGGUAGGAAUACCCGCUGAACUUAAGCAUAUCAAUAAGCGGAGGA
rnacentral:misc_RNA from 1 species